ACGCUCGACACCUACGGGAGGCAGCAGUGGGGAAUAUUGCACAAUGGGGGAAACCCUGAUGCAGCGACGCCGCGUGGAGGAAGAAGGUCUUCGGAUUGUAAACUCCUGUUGUUGGGGAAAAAGNGGAUGGUACCCAACAAGGAAGUGACGGCUAACUACGUGUCAGCAGCCGCGGUAAUCUGAGGCGGGCUGGCAAGGC
rnacentral:rRNA from 1 species